rnacentral:rRNA from 1 species
GAUGAACGCUGGCGGCGUGCCUAAUACAUGCAAGUCGAGCGAACAGAUGAGGAGCUUGCUCCUCUGACGUUAGCGGCGGGCGGGUGAGUAACACGUGGAUAACCUACCUAUAAGACUGGGAUAACUUCGGGAAACCGGAGCUAAUACCGGAUAAUAUAUUGAACCGCAUGGUUCAAUAGUGAAAGACGGUUUUGCUGUCACUUAUAGAUGGAUCCGCGCCGCAUUAGCUAGUUGUUAAGGUAACGGCUUACCAAGGCAACGAUGCGUAGCCGACCUGAGAGGGUGAUCGGCCACAUUGGACCUGGAACACGGUCAAGACUCCUACGGGAGGCAGCAGUAGGGAAUCUUCCGCAAUGGGCGAAGGCCUGACGGAGCAAGGCCGCGUGAGUGAUGAAGGUCUUCGGAUCGUAAAACUCUGUUAUUAGGGAAGAACAAAUGUGUAAGUAACUAUGCACGUCUUGACGGUACCUAAUCAGAAAGCCACGGCUAACUACGUG